CUGGGAUAAAAGUUCUGGGAAUUCUCUGCAGGAGCAGCUUGGAGGUUCCAAAGCUGGAACAAUCCCCAGGUUCUCUUUGUGUGUUUCACCCUCUGUGUCAGAACAUUCCUGGUCUCACAGCAUGUAAGGAGCUGUAAUUCCACGAUUUCUGGCCCUGUCCUGAGGGAUUCACUCCCUGCCUGGCUCCUCCAGCUUUUCCAGCUGCUUUAAAUCCGUGCACCCACGCUUUUCCAAACCCAUGCUUUCCCAUUAGGACACACGGCAACGGGAGGUGCAGGAAACCUUUUUUUUUUUAAGAAACAACAAAUUUAGAGAAAGCCAAGGAGACACAAAAUGAUUCUCAAGAUCUAAUUAUUCCAGGGAAUGAAAGCAAGGCAGGCUGCUUGAACCUGCCUGCUCUGGGUUAUAUUAAUAUGAAGCAUUUAGUCAUUAGGGAGAUGGAAUUAGUUCACCCAGACUGAUCUCUAAGCUGAACUGGAAAGUUGGACACAAUAAUCAUUUCAUAAACUUCCUCAGAAUAAUAAUUCUCCUGGACAAUUAUGCUGAAGGACAUCUCCUUGUGGGGCUCUGAUACCCACGUGGGAAGAAAGAUGGAAAAUGGAGCUGCUGGUUUGGAGAGAAAAGAGUGGGGAUGUUUUGUCUCCCCUGCUGAGGCUCAGACCUCAGAGAGCUGGGAAGGUUUCCUGGAUUUUCAACGCUUCUGCUUUAUUUAUUUUUUAUUUUUAAUUGAAGGUUUGGUUGGGGAAUAUUUAAGGGAAGCAUCUUUCUUCUCUCAGUUUUUAAUUUCCAGGCAGGAAUUGUGAUUCUAGCAGCUCCUCUUCAGUUUCUAAUCCCAGGUGUAGUUGGGUUCAACCGCCAGAAUUUGUCUGCAGGAUGGGAAAAAAUGGGAUAAUAAUUGAAGAAAAUUCUUGGGAAUUGUUGCAAUGAAAUAAUGAGAUCCAGGGGACUGUGAUUAACAAGUAAUUAUCAGAAGGUCUUUGCAGGUGGUCAGGACCUGCCCUUCCAGCUUCUCCUGGCUUCCAGGGACAUUUUAUAAAUCCUUUAUUUUUGGGGUGAAGUGUUGUAAAACUGCUCCCCAUCGGUGCUGCUUGUUCCCAUCCAUCUCCUACAGCAUUCAGGAAUCUCCAGAGCCAUUUAGGAUAAAGCCCAACCUUUCUGCCGGAGGGAUGAAGCUCUGGACUCCUGGUCUCCUUCUCCAGGUUGUUCUCCAGAGCUGAGCAAGGACCAGCCUCACCCAGCUUUGCCUCUCAUGCCCACAGCUGCAGGCAGAGGGGAUGAGAUGAAAUUCAAACAAGGUGAGGUUUGUGAGGGCAGCUGAAUAAAAAAAAUCAGUGCUCCAUGUGUGGUUAUGUCCUGCUGGUUCUUUGAUAAUAAAAGGAUAAAGCAGAGCUUUUGCAUGGAGAAGGAAAAGGAAUGGAAUAGAAAUGUGGGUUUGAACAGUAAAGAUGGCUUAAAAA